rnacentral:rRNA from 1 species
UACAGAGGUCUCAAGCGUUGUUCGGAUUCAUUGGGCGUAAAGGGUGCGUAGGCGGCGCGGUAAGUCGGGUGUGAAAUCUUGGAGCUUAACUCCGAAACUGCAUUCGAUACUGCCGUGCUUGAGGACUGGAGAGGAGACUGGAAUUUUACGGUGUAGCGGUGAAAAUGCGUAGAUAUCGUAAGGAAGACCAGUGGCGAAGGCGGGUCUCUGGACAGUUCCUGACGCUGAGGCACGAAGGUCAGGGGAGCAAACGGGG